rnacentral:lncRNA from 1 species
AGCGCUCUGGUUAUUUCUCUAUCUAGGCGAAUGAAUGAAGAAAUCUACACACACAUGGGGCCAGCGUUUUGAAAGAGAGCAUUUCUAACGGCAUGUGAGAUUUUGCACCUGUAAUUAUUUUGGGGUACAAAAUUGGCUACACCAAUAAUUGCUCCUAUAAACAGCUAAUUGUAGCUGCUGUUAGCCACUUGUGGGUGUAAUUAGCUGCUUGCCCUUAAUCUUCAUGGAAUGCCCAAUUCUCCCUGUAAUUAGUCAAUUGUAGACGCUGUUUCUUUCACAAGAGAGGAAAGACUGUGGGUUAUCUCCUUUAAAAUAUUUUAUAGAAAAUCUUUAAAUUUGAAUAUCCAGAAGGAAGAAGGCUUUUUGGUGACCAAGGGGUUAACUUGAUAAUAUAGUUUUUCUUAAAAAAAAUAAUUUGGGGAGAUGUGUUGACUGUUGAUAAGCAGACCUGAAAUAAUAAUAGCAGAGGCUGCUUAUCACAGGCAGGCAAUAGUUCUAUGACAAUGUUCCAGCUGAUGAAAAAAAUGGGAACAAAAAUUAAUAGUGACAGUACUGGGAGAAACAAGCCAUAAAUUCGAUACUAAGUCAUAAAAUACAGAGUAACCCAAUAAACACAUGCUACUGUUAUUAUAUUAAUAUUGUUAAAAAUAUCAUAACAUUUUAAAAAUGGAAUAGAGGUGAAAGAACACUUUUUUUAGAGGUAAUUUUCACUCGUUGUGGCUUAGAGGCAGAGGAAUUUUUUUUUUCUUUUACUAAACAUACUAAAACUCUAACUUGGGUAGCAUAGUCAAGAACCUGACUUAGAAACAGAGCAAACAGAGGAUGAUCACAUUUCUUCUCCAAAGGAGGGAUGGAAGAUGGAACUACCAUUUAUUGAGGGAUUUUUUAAAUGAGGCAAGCACUUCGUAUUUGUAAUGUCAACGCAUUUUACAAAUAAUAUUUGAGGCAGGACUUAUUUUUCACAUUUUUGAACUAAGAACAGUUAAGGACAUUGUCCAAAGCAACACAACUAGUAGGUGGCAGAGUUGAAACACAAAUCGAAGGCUGUCUGGAUUCCAAAUUUAUAAAUCAGAUGUUACAAGGACCAGAGCCUUAAGUACAGAAGAGACCAAAAGAGGGGGUCGGCUGUGACCCCCUCAGGGAACGUUGGGCCCAUCUAAUCAGCGCUGCUGGCACACAGUGACAGCUGACUGUUAUCACUUCUAGACUGGCUGAUUUUUCCAAAUAAGCCAAGAAUCUAGAUUCUCAUGUGAAGCCUCACUUUUUAACCAUGAGCAUAAAGGAAUCAGGCUGGGUCCCUUGAAUUGCCCAAUGGCUGACUUUUGAGACAUUGUUCUCUCAAGUCCUUAUUCUUACCACCACUCCACACUUUUCCCACAAAAACAAAAACAAAAAAAAACAGGCAAGGUUGUUUUGGAGAUCUUUUUGAGGAUUUUUGAUUAAUGCCUGUUUCACUUUAGAUAUUUAUCCUUCAAGAAGUACUUUCAUUCUAGACUCUCUUAGCCUAAUAUUGUGUCUUUCCCCUCUAGAAAUCCCUAAUCAUGUCACAAAUAUUAACUGCAGUCCAGUGAGAAGUGCGUUGUCAUGUAGAAAAGGAGAACACUAGUUACUAAGAAAGUUUCAAAUCUGGUCCUCAUCAUUGGAGUUUUAUUGCCUUUGAGAAGCUUGCAUCAGUUUCUUGACUUGUAAAAUGUAAAAGAUCAAUAAUGAAAAGAAGUCCUUCUUAGAAAGCAUAAAGGACUUUAGCAUUCUUAUUUCCAAUUGGUGAAAUAGAUACAAUGAGGUCAUUUGACUAGACCGAGUGUGUGCAACUCACUAAACAUGUACACAAAACUGAUUGUUCUACACUCUUGCCCAGAUUUCUGGAAAUGAAUUUGAUGAUGGUGACCCUCAAAUCGAUGUGCCAAAGCUGGCUAAAUAAAAGGCCCUUUAGUAUCCAGAGCCCCUUAUUUGCCCAGCUUGAAUAUGACCAACAUGACAUAUCAAAUUAGAUGUCUGUAUAAAUUUCAGAAAAUCACACUGGAUUUAUGAAGAAUAAUUUGCUAAUGUUUUUAAUCUCCCGAUGGCUAGCCUUGUAAAUAACAGAAAUGAGUUCACUGCCAGAUACACAUUCUAUUUCCAUUUCUGGUUGUUUUCUUCCCCCUUUAUUUCAGCCCUCUGUGUGUGAUAGGCUUUCAUUCUCGACAAGACAUCAGAACUUGACUUAAUAGGCAGCAGGGGUAAAAUCGCCAGCUCUUUACAUGUAGGGAAUCCUGAGGUACAUACAAGCCUCGCUCUAAGAUGUGAUAACGUAAUCUAAAGCCAGGCCCAGCCUGUCAGUUCAGGUCUAAAGGGAUUUGAUUCAGUGUCAGAACCUUUGGCUCACAAGGUCACUUUCUGUUCUUGCUUUUCUUAUAACAAAAGCAGGAAGAGGGGGGCGGUGCGGUGAUUCUGGGGUGUGUGUGUGUGUGUAUGUGUGUGUGCUUGCGCGCGUGUGCAUGCACACGUGUUUUUUCAAGCCUUGCGAAUUCCUCAGCUGCUGUUUGUUGAGCAUAGGGCCUUUAUUUCGGCCUCCUGAAACAUUUUCAUUAGACAGGAGCCUCUGAAGUAUGCCCGAGACGUGGAUAGUGCAACUAAAAAUCGUAGGCCUCUCCAGAAGCAGCCUGAUUGAAAUCAGCACUGUGUCAGGGCCUGUCAUAUCUCAGAAAAGACAUAAAACACACGGAAACAUCAAUAAGCAACAAGCUUCUGACAGCUCUGAGACAUUCCAGCUGACAAGAAGAGAAAGGGGGUGAGGUUAGGGCUCAGGGGGGAUAUUUAAAAUGCCUAACAGCCAGCCGAAGUGUUGGCAGGCUUCAGGGAGGCCGAGAGAAGACAAGAUAAAGUCUAUCAGGUUAUCACCUGGUUCGAGGCGGACUCCUCCUUCCAAGGCCACUGGGAUGAAAUGAUGACACAAUUGCUCGCACCUCAUCCCACCCCCCUUUAUUUUUAAAUGUUUCCGAGAAUCAAGCUGCAUUUAUAGUGUUGCCCAGACAACGUUUGUGCAAGAAAAGAUUUUUUUAAUGUUAAAAAGAAAAAAAAAAAGGAGAAAUCUGUGAAUUAAAGAAUUAUGCUUCUAGCUACAAUGUACAGAAAUCAAAAAGGAUUAACAAGGUUUUUUUUUCAUUUAAUUUCCUGUACACCAGAAGCUUUUGUUAAGAGAUCAGAGAUAUUGCUAUUUAUUGAAUUUUUAAUAUGAUCUUUAUUAAAAGGCAGCACACAUGUUGGGGUUUCCUUCUCUCUCUCUCUCUUUUUUUAACAUGCAUGGAUAUAAAAAUCAAAGGCCAGGAAUGAACCAUGGUUGUUUGAUUUCAGUGCUUUUGUAACAUGGGUGAAGAUUUGGAUAUAGUACAUAUGUAAAAUUGUUAAAGAAAAACAGAUAAAUGGCCCUCUACUUUUGAAAAUGGUUUUUGGCCUUCGGAAAAAGGAUCGGUCAUUAGGUGUUAACCCUUCAAGUAUUUCAGUCAGCUAGGAGAAUUUCCAGAAAAGUCUUCUAGCCCCGUAUGAUCCAUUACAGGAAGGUAAAUGAAAGAAAGAGAUAAUGAUUUAGGUUCCGGUUUUUAUUCUCUUUCAUAGGCUUAUGUAGGGCACAUAUUCUUCCUACGUGCAGACCUCUGGCUGAUAUUCAAAGAAAUCUCUCUUCAUUAAAAAAGUUGAGAUGCAUCCUUGGGGGAUGCAAAUUGGUAAAUUUGGAUUCUAGAGUCAUAGAUCACAGAUUCGAAAGGAGGGGUUGUUAAUACCCUUAAGAACUUGAAGGCUGAGUUCAUUCUUUAGGAUCUAGAGGUUAUUUCUGGAGACCCCAACUGUGUGUGCACAAUUCUGCUUUUCCCAUACUCAGAUCUUAUCUAUUUUAUGUCAAUUAUCCCAUACUCAUUUGUGCUUUCACGUAAAACCAACCAACUUUAAAAAAUGGAAAAGAUAGACAUACAGUAAAAAGCAGUGUGGUAGAAAACCAAGUAGUCCAGCACCAUUGCCUGAAUUACCUGGGGCAAUUUUCCCCUUAUCACUGUUUCAGUUUUUCAUCUAUGAAAUGAGAAUAAUGAUACCAGGAGUUGUUGAUAGGGUGAAAUGAGAUACUGUAUAUGAAACUCGCUUGUAACCUACACAAUGCAAUUCUUUUGUCAUCUUUUUAAUAAAAGCAAAAGAAAGAGAAAAAGAGUCCAAUAAUGAAGGAGAGGAAAUUAAUAGCAUAAAAACUUAGGCUACAGUUAGCAACAGCUAUUGCACAAAAAUGUAUUGC